UACGUAGGGUGCAAGCGUUGUCCGGAAUUAUUGGGCGUAAAGAGCUUGUAGGCGGUUUGUCGCGUCUGCUGUGAAAUUUCGGGGCUCAACCCCGAACUUGCAGUGGGUACGGGCAGACUAGAGUGUGGUAGGGGAGACUGGAAUUCUGGUGUAGCGGUGAAAUGCGCAGAUAUCAGGAGGAACACCGAUGGCGAAGGCAGGUCUCUGGGCCACUACUGACGCUGAGAAGCGAAAGCAUGGGGAGCGAACAGG
rnacentral:rRNA from 1 species